UACAGAGGUCUCAAGCGUUGUUCGGAUUCAUUGGGCGUAAAGGGUGUGUAGGUGGCGCCGUAAGUCGGGUGUGAAAUCUCGGGGCUUAACUCCGAAACUGCAUUCGAUACUGCGGUGCUUGAGGACUGGAGAGGAGACUGGAAUUUACGGUGUAGCGGUGAAAUGCGUAGAUAUCGUAAGGAAGACCAGUGGCGAAGGCGGGUCUCUGGACAGUUCCUGACGCUGAGGCACGAAGGCCAGGGGGAGCAAAACGGGG
rnacentral:rRNA from 1 species